CCCCUUGUGGUGUAGUUGGAUAUCACGUUCGGCUGUAAACCGAAAGGUCGCUGGCUCGACUCCGGCCGAGGGGA
rnacentral:tRNA from 1 species